GCCCUUAUAGCUCAGUGGUAGAGCGUUGCACUUGUAAGCCACACCUCUCGUAACGCAAUCGACAUGCAAAGGUCCGUUGUUCAAUCCAGCGUGGGGGCA